AGCUUUUCGAAUCCGUGCUGAGAUUUCGUCCAAUACCAGCCCAUUAGGGUUGAUCAGACUUCCAAGAUAAGUGAAGUU
rfam:Schistosoma margrebowiei strain Zambia genome assembly, scaffold: SMRZ_scaffold0001800